UUUAAGCAAGUUAGUAUGGCCCCUUGUUUUGCUGUUGGUUAGGCUGCUAAUUAGGUUCACAAUGACAGAAAAAAAUGAUGCAUAAUGCUGCUGUUCUUUUGAGGUACAAGGCAUGGUUGUGGGAUGGUAUGGACAAGUAUGGUGAAAUUGUACUUUUCUUACAAUUCAAGCAAUCAAGCCAUGGCCUCAUGCACUGCAUAAUUUGAG
rnacentral:lncRNA from 1 species